GACGAACGCUGGCGGCGUGCUUAACACAUGCAAGUCGAACGGAAAGGCCCUGCUUUUGUGGGGUGCUCGAGUGGCGAACGGGUGAGUAACACGUGAGUAACCUGCCCUUGACUUUGGGAUAACUUCAGGAAACUGGGGCUAAUACCGGAUAGGAGCUCCUGCUGCAUGGUGGGGGUUGGAACGUUUCGGCGGUUGGGGAUGGACUCCCGGCUAACCAGCUUGUUGGUGGGGUAGUGGCUUACCAGGGCUUUGACGGGUAGGCGGCAUGGGAGGGUGACCGGCCACAUUGGGACUGAGAUACGGACCAGACGCGUACGGGAGGCAGCAGUGGGGAAUAUUGCACAAUGGGCGGAAGCGUGAUGCAGCAGCGCCGCGUGCGGGAUGACGGCCUUCGGGUUGUAAACCGCUUUCGCCUGUGACGAAGCGUGAGUGACGGUAAUGGGUAAAGAAGCACCGGCUAACUACGUG
rnacentral:rRNA from 1 species